GACGAACGCUGGCGGCGUGCUUAACACAUGCAAGUCGAACGGUGAAGCGCCUUCCUUUUUGGUGGGUGUGGAUGAGUGGCGAACGGGUGAGUAACACGUGAGUAACCUGCCCCCUUCUUCUGGAUAACCGCAUGAAAGUGUGGCUAAUACGGGAUAUUCUGGGUCUGUCGCAUGAUGGGUCUGGGAAAGAUAUUGUUUCGGUGGGGGAUGGGCUCGCGGCCUAUCAGCUUGUUGGUGGGGUGAUGGCCUACCAAGGCGGUGACGGGUAGCCGGCCUGAGAGGGUGGACGGUCACACUGGGACUGAGACACGGCCCAGACUCCUACGGGAGGCAGCAGUGGGGAAUAUUGCACAAUGGGCGCAAGCCUGAUGCAGCGACGCCGCGUGAGGGAUGGAGGCCUUCGGGUUGUGAACCUCUUUCGCCAGUGAAGCAGGCCUGCCUCGUUUGUGGGUGGGAGGACGUAGCUGAUAA
rnacentral:rRNA from 1 species